UACGUAGGGUGCGAGCGUUAAUCGGAAUUACUGGGCGUAAAGCGUGCGCAGGCGGUUCGUUAAGUCAGCUGUGAAAGCCCCGGGCUCAACCUGGGAAUGGCGGUUGAAACUGGCGAACUAGAAUCUGGCAGAGGGGGGUGGAAUUCCACGUGUGGCAGUGAAAUGCGUAGAGAUGUGGAGGAACACCGAUGGCGAAGGCAGCCCCCUGGGCUGAGAUUGACGCUCAGGCACGAAAGCGUGGGGAGCAAACAGG
rnacentral:rRNA from 1 species